rnacentral:lncRNA from 1 species
UUUCUUGAAAUAAAGAUCGUUCGUUUAAAUAAGUACUAAGCACAACCAGAGGUAAAAUUUAAACUUCACUAAGUAAACAUUCAAAAGAUGCCAUUUUCGCAUGGCUUAUAUACAUUAACCAAAGAUAUUCUUCCGCCACUAGUCUAUUCUAUACAUGCCAUAAGAUAAUCCAAAACGUAGCAGUACCAAACAAUGGAUAGUGAUAGUGUGACUAGUUGCUGAUGAUCCCCGAGCUUGUAGCUUCCAAAUGAGAUCUAUAAAACAGAGCAAACAGAGUAAACGGAGUAAGCAUUACAAUGCUUAGUAAGUUUUAAGCAGUGUCAACAGAUAACAAUCAAAUUAUAACAUAGUUGUUCGUAUAGUUUAUUUCACUCUUCCUUCGGGCAUACCAUCCCUUUUUCCGAAUAUGCACAUCUCAUCAUAUACAAUAGGCAGAUAAACUUUCAUAUAAAAGUGAGCUCAUGUGACAUAGAUAUAUCGUAUGAUUUCACAUAACCUCUCACACUGAUCCGAUGUCACAUAAUCAUAGGAAUAGUCUCAUAGAUUGCUCUCUAUGCAUCACAUAACUACCUUAUGAUUUAGUGCAAAUCAAGCUCACAUAUAAACUUGGAGUACAUACUUGUUUAACCUUUCGCAUUGAAUAUAUUUAUAAGCAAUUCUUAUUACGAAGUCUUACCCGGACAUAAUCUCCACACGAAAUUAUCGGGUCUUACCCGGACAAAAUCCCCACACGUAGUCAUCGGGUCUUUAGAGCUCAGAUAUAGUACGAGCACGAAGCUUACGGACAUUAAUCAGUGAUAAUAUUCUCGCAUAAAGCCUGCGGGGUUUUAACCCGGAUAUAGUGCUGACACAAAUGCCCUUCGGGACGUAUCACAUUUAUACACUUUCACAUCCAUCACGUUGGCCACUCGGCCCUGUCACAUAUAUACACUUUCACAUUCAUCACAUCGGCCAUUAGGCCUUAUCACAUAUAUACACUUUCACAUUCAUCACAUCGGCCAUUAGGCCUUAUCACAUAUAUACACUUUCACAUUCAUCACAUCGGCCAUUAGGCCUUAUCACAUAUAUAUACACUUUCACAUUCAUCACAUCGGCCAUUAGGCCUUAUCACAUAUAUACACUUUCACAUUACCAACCCUUUUAUUCAUACACAAAGAUCAACUUAGCCAAAGGCCGGUAGCUCAUUUAUCAACUGAGCGAAUACUUAUUUGUAAGGGCUCAACUAAUUCAAAGCACAUACGAAACAUACCUCAAUGUUUGGAUGUUUCAAGCGUAUUAACUAAAAUUUUUACAGCAAGAUCAUUCAUUCCCAAAUCACAUACCUUCGGAAUUUAACCGGAUAUAGCUACUCGUUCAAAUGCCUUUGGGACAUAGCCCGGUUAUAGUAACUCGCACAAAUUCCUUCGGGACUUAACCCGGAUUUAGUAACUAGCACAAAUGCCUUCGGGCUUAGCCCGGAAUUAGUAUCUCGCACAAAUGCCUUCGGAUCUUAGUCCGGAUUUAGUAUCUCGCACAAAUGCCUUCGGAUCUUAGUCCGGAUAUGGUCACUUAGCACAAAGCCUUCGGGACUUAGCCCAGACAUCAUUCAAAUAACCAUGCACAUUUAACAAUAAAUCAUGGCACAUUCGUAUUUCAUUUUCGUUAGCAAAACUCAAACACAAGACACUUAUCAUUCUUGCAAUUUCGGCUCAAUAGCCACACACAAAGAGCAUGAUUUUGAUUUGCUUAAAACAUGAUCUAAUCAAAUCAUAAUUUAAGCUCUAUUACUCAAGAACUUACAAUAUCACGAUUUAGAAUUCAAGUAUGGGUUUAAUCAAUAGCUUGUGAGCAACUAAAACAAGUUUAUCAAGGUUCACAACAUAAUCUCAAAUUCAGCACAAGCUGUUUUUCCUGAGCAAUAGUCACUAAAUUAUUUAUAACUAGAGCUAAAAAACUCCAAAUCACUUUCCGUUAAUUUUUCCUGAAUAUAGACUCGUAUAUCUUCCACCCAUAAAAUUUCCAGAAUUUUAGGUUUGGCCAAUCAAUACCAGAUUUUUCUUAAAGUUUCCCCUGUUUCACUGUUUGACUAAUCUAACCACUCUUCACUACGAAUCAAAUUUCUCAUUUUACAGAAUUCAAAAUGUGUUUUAUUUGAUUCCAUUUGAAACUAGACUCAUUAAUGAGUCUAAGCAUAUAAAUUUUAUCUUAUAAACAUUUUUUUACAAUUUAUAAUGAUUUUCUAAAAACAGAACAGGGGAUUUCGGAGUCAUUCUGACACCGUCUCACACAACUUUAAAUAUCUCAUUAUCGGAAAUUCCUUUGCUUACACGGUUUCUUUUAUAAGAAACUAGACUCAUUAAGCUUUAAUUUCAUGUCUCAUUCAGCCUCUAAUUCAAGUCCAUAAAUUUAUGGUGAUUUUCUAAAGUCACGUUACUGCUGCUGUCCGAAGCAGACUAUUUCAAAUUACCCUUAAAUUCCCAAGCUCAAACACUUAAGAACUUACCAUUUGAGCUUAGAACAUAUCAUGGCCACAUCAUAUCUUAUUAAAUCAACUCAUCAUGUCCUAUUAUAAUUGAAUUUACUCAACGUUUAAACACUUAAAACUUACCUUGGAUGUGGUCGAACAAUUUCGGCAGCUAUUCGAUCACUUCUUCCCUUCCCUUAUCCAACUUUGGUCCUCUAAGCUCUUGAGCUUAAUUUAACAAAUAAAUUGAUUUAAUCAUUUGAGCAUCAAAAGAGGAACUCAAGGUACUUAGCCCAUAUAUACAUACAUUAGACAUUAAAGUCACAUACAUAUGAAAUCAUAAAUCAAUUCAACAUAUUAGCCCACACUCUCUUUUAGCCGAUUGUCUAAGCCAAGAUAAAAGCAUCAAUAUGCUUGCCUCUAGCCGAAUACAUGCAACACCAAGCAAGAAUGAUGCAUCCAUGGCCGAGUAUCAUCUUCAUAACUUUACAAAAACAUUUGCCAUGAGCUAGCUUCUAUACUUGGUGGCCACUCCAAAUAUACAAAGAUUUUCAAUGAUAGAGCAUUAACAUACCUUAAUACAUCAAAAUAAUUAAAUUCUUCCCAUGGCACACUAAAACCGAAUAUGUCUUAUUCAAAUAUAAAUUCUCAUAUUUCAUUUAUUUAACCAUUUAACCCUCCUAUCAAAUAAUUUUCACAAACUAAUCUUAAACUCAAAAUCACAUAAAAUCGUAACACAAAAGGCAUUCAUCUAACACUUGAUUUCUAAAUUCUAACAUCAAACUCAAAUUUCUUAGCUCAUCAACUCAUGGCCGAACAUCAAUUAUUCACCAAAACAAAAAUUAACUCAUGGGUUUUAGAGAAAAUUAAGUAAGGAAUUCAAUGAUACUAAAAAUUAACAAAAACAACCUGAAUUUCACCUUGAAUUUUUGCUUCCAAAUGGCCGAAACUUCAAAGCCACAAAUUUUAUUUUCUUUCUCCUUUGUUCGGCCUCCAAGAUGAACUACAUGCAUGUUCUUUUUUUCUUUUUUUUUAUGCCCCAUACCGUCCAUAUCAAUUGUCUAAGGUUAAAUAUCAUCACAAAUACUCCAACUUACAAAAACAACUUCAAUUCGGCCCUGAAGAUACAAACAUGCAUGGCUUUCCAUUUUAUGUUUUAUAAUACUUAUUUUUAUGUUUUAUAAUACUUAUAAAAAUAAUUAUCUCACAAAUAACUUUAAAAUAAACAUAUAAAGACAUCAUGCAUUAAGCCAUUACCAUCCAUAUAUUUAUUAAUGAUAUAAUUGCCAUUCAAAACCUCAAUAUUCUAAAGACAUAACACUUUAACAUUUUCAUGAUAGCAUGCUUAUUAAUCAAUUGAUGCAUUUUAAUCCUUUUUAAUGACAUAAAGAAAGAAAGAAAAAUAUUUACCAAGAGUUUCAAACUACUUGGCCGAAUAUCAAACCUCCAAACAACCAAAAAAUUUAACUCAUGGAAUGGAUAGAAUUUGAACAAAUCACCAAAAUUAUAUAUAAAUUUUCAAGAAUUUCAAAGUACUUACCUCUUUCUAAAUAUUCUCCAAGCCGAAAUCAUACAAAGAAAUUUUUUUCUUCCUUCUAAUCUCAAGUUACGGCAAUGGUAGAGUGAGGAUGAACCAACUUUGUUUUUAUCACCCAUUUCUUUUAAUAUAAGUUCAUAUUUCAUAUUAUUUAUUCAUUUAACAUUUAAUUUAUUAAUAUAAAAGGCAUAUAUUUUGUAUCCCAUGCUCCUUAUUUUAUCAUACUUCCCAUGAAACACUAACUUAACAUGUUUAUGACAUGUUCUUGCCCAUCACACUUGGUCUACCAUACUUGUCAUGGCCGGCCACUACUAAUUAGGGGGGAAAUUGACAUGCAAGUCCCCCCUUUUUAUUUCAUGCACUAAUAGAUCCUUAUGCUUUGACCUAUCACAUUUCAAAAUUUUCUCACAUAAGUCCUAUUUGAUAAAAUUCACUUACUAUUAACAAAAUUCAAACAUGAAAUUUUCACACAUGCAUAUGUACAUAUAAUGAGCAUCAACUAUGACGGUUAAUUAUCUUUAUGACUCGGUUUAGUGGUCCCGAAACCACUUUCCGACUAGGGUCACUUUAGGGGUGUCACAGAUUAUGCUUAUUCCAAAGAUUAUUAAUCCUUCUAAUCUGACUCAUUUUCGGCCAAUUAGUCUCUGUAAUGUUAUUUAUAAACUUGUGGCAAAGGUGAUUGCAAAUAGAUUUAGAGGAGUCAUUGAUAAAUGUAUUGAUGAAGCACAUAAUGCAUUUGUGCUAAGGAAACUCAUAACAGAUAAUGCACUAGUGGCCUAUGAAGUUUUACAUUCAAUGAAACAGAAGAGAGGGGGGAAGAAGGGAUUUAUGGCCAUCAAGUUAGAUAUGAGUAAGGCCUACGACAAAGUAGAAUGGAAUUUUAUUCAAGAAAUUAUGAGUAGAAUGGGUUUUUCUCAAAAAUGGAUUGAAUCUAUUAUGAAAUGUAUCUUUAGUGUUUCUUAUUCAGUAGUGGUUAAUGGUAACAAAAGAGAUAUAUUCUAUCCAACAAGGGGACUUAGACAAGGAGAUCCAUUAAGCCCUUUUUUAUUUCUGAUAUGUGGAGAGGGUCUAUCAGGUCUAAUGCGAAUGGCUAUUAGCGAAGGAGUUAUAAAAGGUGUUAAAGCUAGUAGAAGUGGCCCCAGGGUGUCUCAUUUACUAUUUGCUGAUGACUGCAUAAUGUUUUAAGAAGCAACAAGAAGGGGAGUAAGAGCAAUCAAGCAGAUUUUGCGUGAAUAUAAAAAUAGUUCAGGUCAGUUCGUAAACUUUGAAAAAUCAGCAGUAUUUUUUAGCAACAACAUAUCUGUGGAAGUUAGGCAAAUAGUGAUCACCCAAUUGGGAAUCCACAGCUCCAAUGAAUUAGAAAGGUAUUUAGGACUGCCAAGUUUAGUUGGGAAAAGGAAAAAAGAAUCUUUUCAAGCAUUUAAGGACAAAAUGAAACAGCGGAUUGAUAAUUGGUGUAUGAGAUUACUGUCUCAAGGUGGAAAGGAAAUAUUUAUUAAAUCAGUUUUACAAGUGAUACCGACUUACUCAAUGGCUUAUUUUUUUAUUACUGAAGACAUUAUGUGAUGAAAUGGAAGGCAUUGUAGCCAAGUUUUGGUGGCAAAAGGGACGUGGAAAGAAAGGAAUUCAUUGGUGUUUAUGGAGAAAUAUGUGUUCUUUAAAAGAAGUUGGAGGUAUGGGUUUCCGAAUUUUUUGCCAAUUUAAUGUUGCGUUAUUAGCCAAGCAGGGCUGGAGCCUUAUUAAUAAUCCGAGUUCCUUAUUAGCCAGAGUUUUUAAAGCCAAAUAUUAUCCAUAAUCAAAUUUUUUAAACGCAUAGUUGGGUUAGUUACCUUCAUAUACCUAGAAGAGCAUUUAGGCAGCACGAGGGCUCAUUCAGGAUGGGUUGUGUUGGAAAGUCAGUCGAGGGACCGAGAUUGAUGUCUGGACUGAUUGCUGCAUUCCUGGAUGUGAAGCCAUUGGUAGACAAGGUAGAGAGACAAACAGUGAUGUCCUAUUAGUUUCGGAUUUAAUCAAUAAUACUAGUAGGACUUGGAAGCGAGACCUGAUCAAUAAUACCUUUCAAUCAGGCAUAGCGCAAAAAAUUUUGAAGAUUCCUUUGGCAGAGUCAGAACAUGUUGACUUUCAGGUGUGGAAAGAGGAACCUUCAAGGGAGUUCUCAGUAAGAAGCGCCUAUAAACUAUUACAUCAUUCUAGCUCGAAUCCUAAUAUUUAUCCAUUACAACCCAAAAUAAGAAACUUCUAUAGAAAAUUGUGGGAUUUACAGCUACCGGGUAAAAUAAAGAUACUAGUUUAGCGAAUUUCCUGGAACUACAUCCCUUCCCUAAUAAAUCUAAGAUCCAAGAAAGUAAUAGAGAAUGCUCUGUGCCCUCGGUGCAGACUCAAAGAGGAAGACAGUAACCAUAUCUUUAGAUUUUGUCCUGCAAUCAGUGAAAUAUGGAAUCUCAUUAAUCUCUCUUAGACCAUUGAUCAUGAUAAUCAAAGUUUCUAGAAGUGGCUUAUCUGGGUUUUUGAAAGGAGUACAAUGGAGCAAUGUCGGUCCUUUUGUUGUGCGCUAUGGUGCGUUUGGAGUUCCCGAAAUCAGCUUGUACAUGAAAAGAAAAUCAUACCAGUUAGGGAUUUAGCAAGGAAAGUCAGCAGUUACAUAGCAGAACUGGAAGGGAUCCGAAUGAAAACAUUUACCUCUUCUUCCAAAAGGGACAACAGUUAUACUAGGGCGACGGAGGGUACCACAGUUCAGUUUGAUGCCGUUUUUGACAAAAGAAAUGAUAGAUCUGCCUCAGGUAUAGUCGUUCGAGACUAGACAGGAGCUUUAAAAGCCUCAAAGUCAGUUAUACAUGAGGAUACCCCGACCCCGUUCGCAGCAGAAGCCCUCGCAGGAUUAGAUGCCAUUAAGUUAGUAAUAGAAAUGAGGUUAACAACAGUAACAAUAGAGAGGGACUCGAGAAUAGUCAUUCAAAAAUGUCAAUCGACAGAAAUUGAUAAGUCGGUCCUUGGGGUGAUUAUUUAUGACAUACAGACCAGAAAAUCCAGGGGUUCAAGACGUUACUUUCAAGUUUAUCCAUAGAACGAAUAACAUUCAAGCCCAUAAUCUAGCAAAAAAAGGGUUGGAGAGAAGGGAGGACUCAUACCUGGGAGGGAAGACGACAAUUCAUAGAGUUGCAGACUCAGAGGGAAGAUGGAGAGAAUCGCCAGAUUGAAGAUGAAUGGACAAGGAGUAGGGUGCAGUUAAGGGUAGCAAGGAAUUGAUAUCUUAGGGAACGACUAUCUGCAAAGGCAUGGCUGUUGGGACGUGAAAAGACGAGUAAAGAAUUAAAUGGCCAGGCUGUUAGAUGUGACUGGGAGAUUUUCUGUUGAUUUCCUUUUGUUUUUCUAUUUUUUUAUUCUUUAUUGUCUUUUAUCAUCAUUUCUGAGAAACGGGCUAGCUAUUAAGGAAGCCCAACUUAGUUUGUUUUGUUUGUUUGGCAGUCGGACUUAAGCCCAAAUGUUAAUUUGGGUAUUGGUUUUAUUCUAUUUGUAAAGAGCCC